UGUAUAUAUAAAGAAAGGCAAAACUAUUAUGGCCCUUGUGCUUAUUACUUGCUGACAUGCAAACACUUGCGCUCUCUGUCUGGCCAAACUAUGUCUCCUCUCUUCACUUUUCAACGGCUGUCCGCGCUGAUGCCAAGGACAAGGACAUGGCGAGCUGACUUUAAUUCGCGUGGUGAAUCAAAACAUAGUAUAAUGUCAUCAGUUAAAAUAUCGAGCGAGUUGAAUAUUUUGAAAUUGAAUAACGAUUGCCUUGGUAUCAUACUCAAGUACUUGGACGACUCUUAGUUUUAUGCUCGAUUCGCGCAGCUUAAAGCACAUACAAUGUUUGGAGAGACUGUCAUUAGAUGUCAAAGUAGCUGCCGAAGAUCUUCGGGAUCUAUGGCUAUACGAGGUUGCUGGAGAGCUGAGCGAUAUUGUGCCGCAUUGUCAGAACGUAAGGGAAAUAGCCUUUUCAAUGCUCAACUCACAUGAGUCCUUUGCAAGUCUUGCGGAGCUACCCAACUUGAAGAAACUUAUCAUCAAAUCCACAAAUGCAACUUUAUCUUGUGCUAAGCUUUUGCAGCUUCUCAAUGCAUUAAAUGCCAAUGAAAGUCAAUUAGGCAAUUAGUUUGAUAUUAUUCUCUAGCUUGAAUUUUGAACAGACAGCCAAAAUAAUCAAAUUGAAAUCGUUGAAAGAACUUCGCUGUGCUUUCGAGGACGCCAGAUGCAUUGAUCUCUUGACCGAUCUGACUGAACUUGAGGUGCUUUACAUAAUGCUGGAUAGUGGUGGAACUUUUGGCAAAGAGUGCCUUAACAUUCUCAGAUCUUGCAGAAAAAGGCCACUUCUGCACAUAAAUGCAAAUCUCUCAACAGACUUUCUAGGCAAGGCGUUGCAAGUUUUGGAAAAGCGCUGAUUUGAUAUAUGGGCUAGCGAAUAAGCGAGCCAUGCUCUCGACAUAAAUCAUCUAGACGAAAUAAUGAUGCAUUAAAAAUAACAAACAACACAGACGCUGGCAGCGUUGCGCCAAAGGCGUUUCAGUUUGUGACGUCACACUCCCGACACAAAAAAUUUGAACGAAUUUGAAUGCCUUUUGUCAGUGCGAAAUGAACUGCGAAAUGCUCUUUGGCCAAUUGCCAGGCGUAUUGUGUACGUUUGUCGUAUUUUGUAAUUGGUUGCAAUGGCCCAGCGCUACAAAAAGAAGCAAAGAACAGACCUUAAAGACCUUUACAUCUACGACUAUUCGAUACCCUGAACUAGCUUUGAUAUGUAUAUGUGCCAUAUAUCAAUGUGAGUCGGAAAUCUUGCACUCA